rnacentral:rRNA from 1 species
UGGGAGUUGGUAUCGCUUGAAAAGGCAAAGCUAACCAUUGUGUUUUCGGAUACAGAGGAGGCAUGUCUUAAUGGCAAUACCGAUGACUGGGGUG